GUUGGUGUAGUCAUUGAUAUAGUUGGCUAGAGCGCACGAAUGCAGGCAUGACUAGAAAUCGUAGCUGCGGGUUCAAAUCCCGCCACCAGCA